UGGUAAUAGAUAUUCAAUUCUUUUGAAUAUGUGUUAUGGGAUGAUAACUUAUGUGGCGGAUUCUAAUGAGCACUUCAAAGAUGCAAAGAAGAAGAUACAGGAGAUGACUGAAUGUUAUAGCGAGCACACACGCAACUUAUCUUUGACCCAAACAGGUUCGAAUGUUGGUUUGAUGACAGAGAACAAAACUACAGUUGGUAGUUCACAACAAGUGAAGAAUCCACUUGUUAUAAGAGGGAAAUGAAGACCCCCAUCUCUGAGGUGAGCAUCCAGGAUGGAGACAGACAUGCGAAAGGUUAAAGCCAAAUAAAAGAAAGCACAAGUCAAAGGGAAACGCAAACAGCGAGAAGGAGAUACACCAGAAGGAGAUAUACCAGUAGUGGGCACGUGCAGGAAUUUAUUUGGACCAUCAGAAGUGGAUAUCACCAAUCCUGGACAAGUGCAGGUAUUAGAAAUAGUCUCAGAUUUUAUAAACCAAACAAUGAUUUCGUCCCAAUCAUUAUUGGUCAAUAUUUGUAAUGUGAUCAA